CUAAUACGUGCAACAAACCCC
rnacentral:siRNA from 1 species